rnacentral:rRNA from 1 species
AGUCUGGUGCCAGCAGCCGCGGUAAUUCCAGCUCCAAUAGCGAAUAUUAAAUUUGUUGCAGUUAAAAAGCUCGUAGUUGAAUCCAAGGUUAGGCAUGCCUGUCUGUUCUUAGUAGCAUGACUGUGUGUGUCUGCCUUUAUUAGUUGAAUGUUCAUUAUGGUGGUCUUCAUCGACUGCUAUGAUGUGCUCAACACGUUUACCUUGAAAAAAUCAGAGCGAUCAAGGCAGGCCUUCGUGCUUGUAUGUUGUUGCAAGGAAUAAUAGAAUAGGACUUCGGUUCUAUUUUGUUGGUUUUGAGAAUUGAAGUAAUGAACAAUAGAGACAGUCGGGGGCAUUUGUAUGGUGGCGUUAGAGGUGAAAUUCUGAGAUCGUCGCCAGACAAACUACUGCGAAAGCAUUUGCCAAGGAUGUCUUCAUUAAUCAAGAACGAAAGUCAGAGGUUCGAAGACGAUCAGAUACCGUCCUAGUUCUGACCAUAAACGAUGCCGACCUACAAUCGGGGGUGGUUUAUUAUAUUGACCCUCCCGGCUGUCCUCAGGAAACUUUAAGUUGGUUCUGGGGGGAAUAUGGUCUCAAGACUGAAACUUAAAGGAAUUGACGGAAGGGCACCACCAGGAGUGGAGCCUGCGGCUUAAUUUGACCCAACACGGGGAAUCUCACCCGGUCCGGACACUGGUAGGAUGGACAGAUUGAUAGCUCUUUCUUGAUUCAGUGGGUGGUGGUGCAUGGCCGUUCUUAGUUGGUGGGGUGAUUUGUCUGGUUAAUUCCGAUAACGAACGAGACUCUGUCCUGCUAAAUAGUCCAGUGGCAUCAAUCACUAUGUGAUUACAGCUGCUGUUACUUCUUAGAGGGAUUCGCGGAUUUAAACCGCAAGAAAUAGAGCAAUAACAGGUCUGUGAUGCCCUUAGAUGUCCGUGGCCGCACGCGCGCUACAUUGACAGUAGAAGCGAGUAUUUCUACCUGGUUCGAAAGAAUUGGGAAAUCUUCGAAUUACUGUCUCCACAGGGAUUGAGGUUUGCAAUUUUGCCUCAUGAACGAGGAAUUCCCAGUAGGCGCAAGUCAUCAGCUUGCGUCGAUUACGUCCCUGCCCUUUGUACACACCGCCCGUCGCUACUACCGAUUGAGUGCAUUAGUGAGGACCUCGGAUUGAGAACAUAGUGGCGCAAGUUACUUUGUUUUCGAAAAGUGGUUCAAAUUUGUGCAUUUAGAGAUAGUAAAAGUCGU